AUAGGCGGUGGGUUGUAAUUCCAUUUAUGGGGUAAGUCCUCUCUUUACAU
rnacentral:tRNA from 1 species